UCUUAUAGCAAUGGGAGGAAAUUGAAAGUAGACUCAAAGGAAGGAAUAGUGGCAAUGUGUAAGGUAAUCACAAAUGAUGACAACUAGAAGGAUGGAUAUACCCCACCUGCUAACCAUCUAAGAAGCAUCAGGAAAGAAUGUGAGAUACAUCUGUGAAAUUGCCACCAUGAUUUCCCUAGUCAAAUCUCAGCAAUGAAAAAGGAAUCAAGGUGAUAUAAUGGGAAAAAUGAAGAGAAUGAUGUUACAAGAUCAAAUGUGACCUUGGGCUUAGUUAACAUUGAUGAUAUUCUAUCUUAUACUGGACAAGAAGAGAAGAGGUUAAUAUUGCUCUCUGAGACCAGCAUACAUCCUGGGAACAUGAAGGGAGGCAAGUUCAGAGUGAAGAUGUGAUUGGCAGAGUCAUAG